ensembl:lncRNA LINC01198 long intergenic non-protein coding RNA 1198
UGGCUAAUACUGCAAAGUUUGGGAUGCACAAUCUACAAAACCCCACAGCCCCUGAGAAUUCUCUCGCCUGCCUUCGGCCCUUAGGCUCCGGGAGAUUGCAAAUAACCUGCUUUCUUUCUGUUCCCAGGUGGCGUCGGACCCCUGUCAGAGAGUAAAUCUCAAGUAAGGUACCUGCCAUCGGCAGAUUUGAGCUUUCUUCUUGGACACCUAAUACCCACAGUCCUCCAGGCUCCGGUAGACUGCAAAUGACCUGCUUUCUUUCUGUUCCCGGGCUGCGUUUGGACCCCUGUCGGAUAGUAAAUCCCAAGUAAGGUACCUGCCCUCGGCAGAUUUGAGCUUUCUUCUUGGACACCUAAUACCCACAGUCCCCCAGGCUCCGGUAGACUGCAAAUGACCUGCUUUCUUUCUGUUCCCGGGCUGCGUUUGGACCCCUGUCGGACAGUAAAUCCCAAGCUGUAGAUGAAGGGGUUCAGCAUGGAGGUGAUCACCGUGUACAUCACUGAGGCCACUGCAGCCUUUCUCGGGGAAGAUGACACAUCUGAACUGAGGUACCCUCCAAAGCCUGUUCCGUAAAAUCAGCAAACAACUGACAGGAUAACUUCAGGAAGUGGGUAUUAAUUCUCACGGUAUAAGUGAAGACAUUAAGCACCAGAGUUUAAGUAGCUUGAUCCACUGAAAGAGAUUCAACUGUGUGGAACCUAUGCCGUGGAGAAUUGCUUUCUGCCAUUGUUAUCGUCCAGCAGUUGCCGAAUAGCUCUGACCUGAGCAAAGCAGUGAAACGCGGUGCUGUUGAGUGGGUUGCCACUGCACCUUUUUCAACUACUCUAGUCUUGUGGAGAAAAUACCCCUUCUAAAUUUUUUCUUCAUUGAAUACUCUCCCUCAGCUCCAGAGUACCAUAUAGAGUUUUCUUGUAUUUUAGAGUUACUGUUUUAUCAAAGUUUACCAGUCUUUUGUAUUACAUUUCUCCUGUCUAAAUCGACUGUGUGGUUUCUACUCAUUAUGGAUAUAGAUUGAUACAAACUCAAUAAAUAUUUUUGAAUGAAUAA